CUAAGCUGAAGAGCAGUGGCUAUUUCACAGUGUUUGUGAAUUUUAGACGGGAAAUCUAGAAAACCCAAAAUGUCAACCCAAAUAAUUUAUGAGAAGAAGCAUUACCCCACUGCAGGCAUUCUGUCACAGUGGCAAGAGGAUUGACCGUGGAUCACCAUUCUCCUUGGAAGCUCCCCUGGCUGGUUUUCAGCUGGGUGCCAAAUGAGAGAAUCUUGGAGGCUCCCAGCAAACCGGACAAGGCCAAACAGGACACGCUGAUGAUGUCAAUGACUGAAGAAAAACCCUUUUCUACCCAGGUGCGGUGACUCACACCUGUAAUCCCAGCACUAUGGGAGGCCAAGUCAAGAGAAUCGCUUGAGCCUAGGAGUUCAAGGCCAGCCUGGGCAACAUAGCAAGAUGCUGUCUCUACAAAAA
rnacentral:lncRNA from 1 species